rnacentral:rRNA from 1 species
UACAGAGGGUGCAAGCGUUACUCGGAAUUACUGGGCGUAAAGCGUGCGUAGCCGGUUACCUAAGUCGGGUGUGAAAGCCCCGGGCUCAACCUGGGAAUUGCAUUCGAGACUGCGUAGCUGGGGUGCGGAAGAGGGAAGCGGAAUUUCCGGUGUAGCGGUGAAAUGCGUAGAUAUCAGGAGGAACACCUGUGGUGUAGACAGCUUACUGGACCAUUUCUGACGCUGAGACACGAAAGCGUGGGUAGCAAACAGG